rnacentral:rRNA from 1 species
AUCAUGGAGAGUUUGAUCCUGGCUCAGAACGAACGCUGGCGGCGCGUCUUAAGCAUGCAAGUCGAGCGGUAAGGGGCAGUAAUGCCUCCUAGAGCGGCGGACUGGUGAGUAACGCGUGGGUGACCUACCCUUAGGAUGGGGAUAGCCAUUAGAAAUAGUGGGUAAUACCGAAUAUGGUUGCGGGACUAUGGUUUUGCAAAGAAAGGAGCUAAGGCUCCGCCUGAGGAUGGGCCCGCGUCCCAUUAGGUAGUUGGUGCGGUAAAGGCGUACCAAGCCUGAGAUGGGUAGCCGGCCUGAGAGGGUGAACGGCCAC